CUUGUUUUCCAGUUAACAGGUUUAGUUUUGGCCUCAGGAGGCAGGAAAAUGAGAGAGAGGGAGAGGAGCCUGAAGGAGCUCAAAAUACCAUUACUGUUCAGUACAAAGCAGGGUAAACCAGUUCUGCCAAAGACCACAAAUUUCUGUAUUUCCUUGUGUUUGUUCAUCAAAGUUUCACAUUUAAAAAAACUUUUAUGUUUCUUUUGGUUUCUAUCAUGUGCUUUACAGAUCAUCUAUUUUAUUUUAUUUAUUUAUUUUUAAGAUUUUAUUUAUUUGAGAGAGAAAGAGGGAGUGAGAGAGAACAUGAGAAGGGAGAAGGUCAGGAGAAGGUCAGAGGGAGAAGCAGACUCCCCAUGGAGCUGGGAGCCCGACGCGAGACUCAGUCCCAGGACUCCGGGACCAUGACCCGAGCUGAAGGCAGUCGCUUAACCAACUGAGCCACCCAGGUGCCCUAAAGAUUAUCUAUUUUAAAGCAAGAAAAUGAGAAUAAGGUAAAAUUCUAAGGAAAAAUGAUGGGAGCCUAUGAGAAGUUAGUUGUUCCCUUACUCAGAGCUAAUUCAUAUUUGACUAAGCAGGGGCUCUACAGUUAUAUUCUGAAUAGCAGAUUACUCUUAUAGACAAAUAGGGCAUGUGUCUUUCUCUCCCCAAAGGGAAACUAUAUUACUGGAUUUGAAUACUAGGAUGCAUCUGCCAACAUGGGACAGAAUAGUUAAAAAGGUGAUGGAAAUAUGAAUUUUCCAUUCAGAAGAAGAGAAUAGAUAUCUCAGGCAACUGAAAGAACAUGUUCGGAUCAGUAAAACUAAAGUGUAAAGAAUAUAGUACUUUUGUAUGGAACAGACUUCUCUAGACAGGAAAGAACCCAUCUAAAUGCUGAGGGACAAACCAGUUAAGAGGCCUGAGUCUUCCUUUUUUGCAACUGUAAAAUCUGGUAAUUAAACUGGCCAAACAGAAGAUAUAAUAAACAUAAAUUGAAAUAAAUCUGCAUAUUCCAAGCCUAGUGAAUUUUUAAAGAUUGAAUUAAGUAACUAACUGGAAUCUUAAAGACGAAAGAACUCGUGCAUGCUUCCUGAAGUCAAGAGCGGUCUAACUUAAAAUUCUGUUGUCUCUGAGGACAAAUUAUAAAGAGCUGAAGAGAUUCAACAUCACAUGAAUAGCCUUUGCUCCCACUCAGACUGUAAAGUCAGGUCUGAAAAAGGAAUAUUCUGUAUAGAAGCAUAAAUGUUAAAAUAUGAACAUUUUGCUUUGAUAUCAAUCCAAAAAUAAAUAAAUGAAUUAAAUGUCAAAAAUGUCUAUUCUAAUUUAAACUUCUCUAUAUAUAACCUAAUGUGUAGUGUGAGCUAAAAAUCUGUUCAUGCUAAGUGACAGAAUAUUCUCUAUGCAAUAUGUAGGUGUUAAGUAAAUGCCCUAAUUCAUUUAUUAUAAACUACUUUUUCCCAUUUUAACCUCUUCACAGAGGCUAUAGUUAUAGAUUUUUUACUCAAUGUCAUGCUGUGGUUUAACUAGCAGCAUCUUUCUUCUUAGUGCCACUUCAAAUAGUGAUACAACUUACAGCGAAUGGUGUCUUAUAGUUGAGGUAUAGUAUUCAGUACAGUUUAAAUAUUUUAUUUGUUUUUUUCGACAGAGAGAGACAUAGGGAGAGAGAGAAAACAAGCAGGGUGAGCGGGAGAGGGGGAAGCAGGCUUCCUGCGGAGCAGAGAGCCCACUGUGGGGAUCGAUGUGGGGCUCGAACCCAGGACCCUGGGAUCAUGAACUGAACCAAAGGCAGGUGCUUAACAAUUGAGCCACCCAGGCACCCCAGUAUUCAGUGCAGUUUAAAAAGCAAAACUCUGUCUAGAGUCCUAAGGAUCCCAAAGAUGUGCUAGUAUUUAUGAGUUCUUUUUAGAGUAAGUGGGAAAAUGCUGAAGAAGGGCUCCAAAGAAGGUCUGUGCCUGGGAGCAAAGAUUAUAGGCAUGGUCAGGAGGACAUUAGUAAGCAAGGAAAAUGAGCCUUAUGAAGACACUGGUGAUUUAGGUCUGGUAUUAAACUCUUCUAGGUCUCUCCUUCGUCAUUUCCAAAGCUCCUACAGCUGGGUCUCGCCAGUUUCCAUCCCUUCGCAUUGUGUUGGAGAUCUCUGAUAUACUGGAAUCCAUGGAAAGUUUCGUAUACCCUAAUACUGAGCAGAAUAGUAGGUAUGAUCUACUUUCUAGGUAUUACAUUUAUCCAAAUUUGUGGAAGGUGUCUUGUACUUCCAAAAGAUUUAGAACUUAAGACUCAUAGAAAGUAAAUGUAUUUUUAACAUCUUUAAGCAUUUUUUGUCGUCCUACUUAGAUCAUCUUUUUUUCCCCUUCCUAUUUAUAUCAUCUUAAAACAGCAUAGUUCUCUCAUAAGGGUUUCAGAGAUCUUAAGGGACAAAGUAGCAAAGAAGUCAGUAUUAUCGAAGAUUAAAGCCAACAACUUAAUGUUUUAAAAAGAUAUAUAGAGGGGGGCCUGGGUGGCUCAGUGGGUUAAAGCCUCUGCCUUUGGCUCAGGUCAUGAUCCCAGAGUCCUGGGAUGGAGCCCCACGUCAGGCUCUCUGCUCAGUGGGGAGCCUGCUUCCUCCUCUCUCUCUCUGCCUGCCUCUCUGCCUACUUGUAAUCUUUGUCUGUCAAAUAAAUAAAUAACAUCUUUAAAAAAAAUAAAAAGAUAUAUAAUGUAGAUAAGGCUGUGGGAAGACAUGUAAAAGUGGUUACUUUUGAAUGAAAACUACCCAUUUUUUUUUUUUUGCCUUAUCAAUAUCUUUAAACUUUGCCACAGUAAAUGUAUUGCAUUUGUAGUAAUUUUUUAAAAAGCAGUAAAGGUUUUUCUUAUAAUUAAACCAUGGAUACUCUAAAGUACAGCUAGGAUCUUCAAGGAUUUAUUUUUAAGGAUACUUUUGCUUAAUAAGUUCAUCCAAGAAAGUUAUGGGCACCAUCUAGUCCAACCAUAAAGUUCAUGUUAGUGAUUCACCAAGAAAAAAUCAAAGAGGUCUCAAAUAAAAUCAGAAAAAUGAAAGCUAAAAUGCUGCAACUAUUGUGACAGAAACACAAAGGACCAUAAGAGACUAUAAACAAUUUUAUGCCACCAAAUUGGACAACCUAGAAGAAAUAGAUUAAUUCUUAGAAAUGUACAACCUACCAAGACUGAAUCAUGACAAAACCAAAAAUCUGAACACAGACCAAUUACUAGAAAGGAGAUUAAGUUAGUAAUCAAAUUCCCACAAACAAAAGUCCAGGACCAGGCUUCACUCAUAGAUUCUACCAAACAUUCAAAGAGGAAUUAAUACUAGUUCUUUUCCAACUCUUCCAAAAAAUGCAAGAGUUGGAAGAACUCUUCUAAACUUCCUUUGAGGCCAGCAUUACCCUGAUACCAAAGCCAAAAAAGGAUUCCACAGGAAAAAAAUUUUGGCCAAUGUCCUUUGAUGAACUGAGAUGUGAAAAUCCUCAACAAAAUAUUAUCAAACUGAAUUCCAUAAUACAUUAAAAGGAUCAUACACCAUGACCAAAUGGGAUUUAUUCCAGGGAUGCAAGGAUGGUUCAACACCUGCAAAUCAAUCAAUGUGAUAAGCCGCAUUAACAAAAUGAAGGAUAAAAAUGAUAUGAACAUCUCAUUAGAUGUUUAAAAAAAAAUUGACAGGCAACUGGGUGGCCUAGUUGAUUAAUUGUUGAACUCUUGGUUUUGGCCUAGGUCAUGAUCUCAGGGUCUUGAGAUUGAGCCCCAUGUUGGGCUCUGUGCUCAGUGCAAAGUCUGCUUAAGAUUCUCUCUCCAAUUCCUUCUGAUACCUCCCCACACACUCUCUCUCUCAAAUAAAUAAAUCUUUUUAAAACAGCAUUUGACAACAUUCAACAUUUUUUUAAUGAUAAAACUUUCAACAACACAAGUAUAGGGGGAUCAUACUUCAAAUAUGAGAAGCCCACAGCUGACUUCAUACUCAAUGUUAAAAAGCUGAAAGCUUUUCCUCUAAGAUUAGGAAUAAGACAGGGAUGUCCAUUCUCACCACUUUUAUUCAACAUAGUACUGGAAGUCCUAGCUAGAACAAUUAAAUGGCAAGGAAAAAGAAAGGGCAUCCAAAUUGGAAAGGAAGAAGUAAAACUAUCAGUAUUUGCAGAUGACAGGAUACUGUGGAUGUAUAAAACCCUAAAAAGUCCACCAAGACACUGUUAGAAUAAACAAAUUCAGAGAAGUUGCAUGAUACAAGAAUCAAUAGAUAAAAAUUUGCUGUGUUUCCUCACACUAUAGUGAACUAUCAGACUUUAAGGAAACAAGCCCAUUUGCAACUGCAACAGAAAAAAGAUAUUUAUGACUAAGUUUAAUAAGGAGGUAGAAGACUUGUAAACUAAAAACUAUGUAAGACCUUGGGAUGCCUAGGUGGCUGAGUUGGUUAAGCGGCUACCUUCCACUCAGGUCAUGAUCCCAGGGUUCUGGGAUCGAGUCCUGCAUUGGGCUUCUUGCUCGGCAGGGAGGCUGCUUCUCUCUCUCGGCCUCUGCCUGACACUCUGCCUGCUUGUGCUCUCUCUCUCUGUCAAAUAAAUAAAAUCUUAAAAAAACAAAACUAUAUAAGACCUUGACUAAAGAAAUCAAAGACAACACAAAUGAAAGAUAUACCAUGCUCAUGUAUUGGAAGAAUUAACAUUGUUAAUACGUCCAUGCUACCCAAAGCCAUCUAUAGAUUCAAUGCAAUCCCGAUAAAAAUUCCAAUGGUGUUUUAUAGAAAUAGAACAAACAGUUCUAAAAUUUGUAUGGAACGUCAAAAAAAAAAAAAAAAAAACCUCCAAGUAGCUAAAGCAAUCAUGAAAGAAGAACAAAGUGGAAUAAUUUAAACUGUAUGGUAUUGGUGUAAAAACAGACAUAUCACUCAGUAGAAUAGAACAGAUUCUCCAGAAAUAAACCCAUGCAUAUAUAGUCAAUUAGUUUAUGACAAAGGAGCCAAGAAUAUACAAUAGGAAAAGGACAGUCUCUUCAAUAAAUGAUGCUGGGAAAACUGGACAGCCACAUGUAAAAGAAUGAAACUGGACCACUGUCUUACACCAUACACAAAAAUUAACUCAAAAUGAAUAAAAGACUUGAACAUAAGACCUGAAACCAUAAAACUCCUAGAAGAAAACAUAGGUGAUAAGCUCCUUGAUACAGUUCUUGGUGAUGAUUUCUUUUUAAUCUGACACCAAAAAGCAAAAGCCACAAAAGCAAAAAUAAACAAGUGUGAUUACAUCAACUUAAAAAGUCUUCUGUACUGCAAAGGAAAUCAUCAACGAAAUGAAAAAAUAACCUACUGAACAGGGAUAAAUAUUUGCAAAUUAUAAUCUGAUAAGGACCUAAUAUCCAAAAUAUACAAAGAACUCCUACAAUUCAAUAUAAAAAAAAAAAAUCCAGCUAACGAUGGGCAGAAGAUCUGAAUAGACAUUUUUUUUUUUUCCAGAGACAACCUACAGAUAACCAACAGGUACAUGAAAAAAUGCUCAACCUCACUAGUCAUCAGGAAAAGGCAAAUCAAAACCACGAUGAGCUAUCACCUCACACCUGCUAGAAUGGCUAUUAUCAAAAAGACAAUAAAUAAGACUGUUAGAAUGUGGCGAAAAGGGAACGCUUGUGCACUGUCGGUGGUAGCAGAAACUGGUGUAGCCACUGUGGAAAGCCGCAUGGAACUUCCUCAAAAAAUUAGAACUAUCACAUAAUCAGCACUUCCGCUUCUGGGUAUUUAUUUAAAGAAAAAAACACUAAUUUAAAGAGAUAUAUACAUUUCCAUGUUCACUGCAGCAUAAGAUACAAUAGCCCAGAUCUGGAAACAACCUGCAUGUCCACUGAUGGAUGGAUGCAGAAAUUGUGUUGUUUAUAUACAAUUUGAAUAUUAUUCAGCCAUAAAAAAGAAUGAGAUCUUGCCAUCUGCAAUAAGGUGGAUGGUUCCUGAGGACAUCAAAUGAAAUACCCCUUGAGGGAUAAGUGAAAUAAGAAAGACAAAUACUGCAUGAUCUCUCAUACAUGUAGAAUCUAAAAUGAAGCAAAACAAACCAAGCUCAUAGAAACAGAACAGAUUGGUGGUCAUAGGAGGCAGGGACUGGGAAAUGGGAGAAAUGGAUGAACUGUUUUUUUUGUUUUGUCUCUUUCAACCAAAACAAUAUACAGUUAUACACGAGACAGAAAGAGUCCACAAACUGAUGCAAAAAGAAUCAUUCUGCCCUCUGUCUUGAGAGAUGGCAACUUCUUCGUGUUUUUAUGCAUUGUAUGCAUCUGCUCUCUCUGGCCAGGCCACAGCAGGAGCUUUUCACUUCAAUAGAUAAAUUUCUUAAUCUUGAUUUUUCAAAAUGCUGGACCUGAAGACUUGUUUGGAAGCUACUUCAACCCUUUGCUGCAGAAACCCCCUUCAGUAGAUAUUUAAUUUGUUCCAAAUUAAAUAUAUUGAUAAGCCCUAUUUGAAAAUAAGUGAUGCAAUAAAAUAUCUGGUUUUUUUGCUUAGUGGUUAACACUGGUUUAGGAUGUCAUGCCUCUCCUACCACGUAUUUGGUAGAAAAUUGUAUUUCUGCUUCUUCUAUUACUCAAAAAAUGUCAGGAUUAUUAAGGUUCUUUGUUUUCUCAAAUCAUGUUAAUAUUUUCUGACAUAUCGUUCUUUCCUCCUCUAUCUUAGGUGUAUGUAAUUUUAUCAGCUUUGUGGGAAAAACAGAUACUCUUAAGGUCUGAACUGGUAUUUGAAGAGAAGCUCACUUUUAACUCAUGUCUAAUAACAUUACACUAUUGUUUAGGAAGAGAUAGCAGGCCAUGUCUUAUAAAUUUUAAUAUACUCUUUCUGUCAUCAAAUAACAAGUGAAUUAUCCUACUGAUAAACCAUGGGACUCCUUUCAAACUGGAUGAUGUCUGGUUACUGUAUUUUUGCCAACUAAGCAUACAGAAAAACAUUAUGCGAUGGGCACUAUUUCAGUGACUUCAGGAACUUGCAGAAAGUUAGCACCUCUUCCCAUAAUGCUCAGAGAGCAGCAUUCUUUGUAAUGACUUCAGAGGGAGGAACAAAAGGGAAUGGAAAGGAGAAUUGACUAACUAUUUCUGAAACUGGGUAGUGGAGCCUCUGCAAGCCUCCAUUUCCUCCCUGGUAAAAUAAGAGAAUACCUUCUUCGCAAAGUGGUUGACUAUUGAAAAGGUUGGUGUAUUUGGAAAAUAGUUUGUAAAGCUCUAUGAAGACUAUUAUGAUUGCAUAAACAUGAGCAUUGAGCAUGUUAGGAAAGACCUUGUUAAAUUUGGUGCUUUACCUGAAGAGGUAGACAGGGGGCUGGCUGAACGCUGUCGACCCUUGCAUUACAAAUCCCAGUCCCAGAUUUCCUGGUUUGCCAGGAAAUUGCAUUCACACUUGGUUAAGCUAGAGGGAUCUAUGCCACUUCUCUGCUAGCAAAGGAACUCCCCCUCCAGCAAAGGUGUGCAAUGAGGCUGAUGUGGUCCUUUAUAUAGUAAGUGUGGGGGUAUUAAUGGAAAGGAGGAGGUUAACAUUCUCUUGGAGCUAUUCAGGGAAGCUCUUCCAAUUGGGAAUUGAGAUGGGCAGCAAGCUAUGAUUUAAACAGCUAAUGGGCUUUAACUAAAUAGGCCACAUGGAAAGCUGGCUGGCUGGAUUACAGAUCAACUCUUCCUAUCUCUGUGUACACACCUAAGGCUGUGGACACAAUAGUCCCACACCCCGAGUAAAGUAAGAGCUGAAGAUAAAGCUGAUGACUCCCGUUUCCUGGGGGUAGGAAGAUGCCUAGUGGCUGAAGGGAUCUGCUCUGUUUUCUGUAAGCAAAGAUCGUGCUAUCAUCUGAUUUUGUGGCAACAGAGACAAAGGCGAAUUUCCUGACCAGAGUGAAUGACAAAGAAAUGAGGCAAAUUAUUGAGAAACUGGUGGAUGUUCAUUGAAGGGCAACAAAUAUGAUUUAUAAGCCUGAGGGACUGCCUUCAGAGGAAGAUGAAAGAGACAAGUCUCUUCGCAUGACCACCAGUUCUAACUAACGGGGACUGGCUCAUGGGCCCCAAGUACUUGGAGGGUGUAAAUAGCAGGGAUGGAGAGAAAUUACUUAGUGUGGUCCAGGGGGACAGGAGGACGAAUGAUGGAAACGAAAGUCAAAACAAAGAUGAUUUAGGCAGCUGAGCAAGUCUCAUGCCCUAAUGGAGAGAUCUAUUAUAAACUAUGCUCCCCAGUCCCCCGGGAGGUAUGGAAGCCCCAUCACUUUUGCCAUUUACAAUUGGAAAAGGCACUAAAAAGUAGAUCAGCGUAUUGGAGAGGGGAAAAACCACCACAUGCCCUCAGAGGAUCAGUAGGAUGACUUAAUAGGUCUUUUCCAUCUGAAAUUACUGUGAUGUGGCUUAUGUGCUUGGGGACCUGAGCUGCUAGAAUAAUUUUCCAUCACCUGGGCUUCUUUUCUGUUACUGCAGGAGCUCAGUGAAGAAAUAAUAGGUAUCAGAGAGCCACUUCUGCAUUCUAGAUAGAAGUCUGCAAUGUACUGAUGCUUUAGUGUGAAGGCAGAGCUGACCAGGCUAAGUCUCGAGUUGAGACAUCAGUGUACGGGAAAUACCUACAUGUACUGAUUGAGACUCAAGACAGCAUAUACCACUGAGCCUCCAAGACAAAGGGAGAGGAGUUUGGCCGCAUUUGGUUGGUAGUUGCAUAAGUGAAAAGUUCAAGUAGCUUAUUCCCUAAGCUAGGAAAAUAAAAAUGUCCAAAUAAUUAAACCCUCUCUUAAAAAAAAAAAAAAGAAAGAAAAAAAAAGUUGACCUUCAAAAUCUAGUAAACAUUUACUGGGUAGGACCUGGAGGACCCAUGUUUUGAAUGCUGUUGAUACUAUAUUUCUGUCCACAGCUGCAGUUGUAUUAGCAACUGACACAUUCUGAAACUCUUGGUGGCCCAGAAGGCCCAGAAGGGCACACGAGGCCUGGAAGCAGAAGCAGUCUGGGGUAACAAGUGGGGAGGCAGGGGCACGCCUUGGUCAGAUGGAAAUUGGGGCAGGCAGUAAAGGGCCGGUUUCCCUGUGAUUGCUAGAAGGAGCACAGCUGUGACCAUAACAUCCCUUCUCAGCCAGAGGAUGACACAGAAGCAGAAGGACAAAAUUGAGGGGCUGCAAAGAUUCAUGAGGUUCAAUCUGCAAAAUCUUCUCAGAGCUUUGGAAGAAAACACAGUCCAAGAAUACAAGGCACAUAACACUUUUCAGAGAAGGCUUAGAAAAAUGAAGUCAUUUCCCUGGAGCAACAGAAGAGAGAGAGAGAGACAUCAAGAGAGGGAACAGUGGGAGAGGAAGAAACAGGCUUCCCACUGAGCAGGGAGCCCAACGUGGGGCUUGAUGCCAGGACCCUGAGAUCAUGACCUGAGCCGAAGGCAGAUGCUUAACUGACUGAACCACCCAGGUGCCCCCACUCAGUUUAUUCUUACAUCAGCCCUCAUGAGAGACAAAGGUCCUGGAAACCAGAGCACGGGGCAAUCCCAAUUGAAGAGGAAGAGCACGAAGUAGCUUCCCACCAAGGCUUCCUGAGGAGGAAACUACGGAAUGCUUCUCUGUACAGUGCCAACUGGUCUGUAGGCCAUGCGUCUACUUAUGCAUGACAGGGCAAAAGACAUCGGAAAGGAAACUAUAAAGAAUAUGGUUUCUUAAGCCUGAUUCCGAGAUAAUAGCAAAUAGUGGACUUAGUAAGAAGUUUGUCAGACAGGGAGGCUGUAUAUAGAAGGAGUAGGAUAAAGAGCUGGAGAACUUGGGUUGGUUUAGGCCGAGUUCUCAGAACAGUAAAUGGACCCAUAUUCAAACAUCAGUAGACAGCAGAAACGUUCUAUGGUCUGAAUGUGUCUCCUCAAAAUUCACAUUUUGAAAUCCUAACCCCCAAAGAUGAUGAUACUAGGAGGUGGGGACUUCAGGAGUGCUUGGGUCACAAUGGUAGAGCCCUCAGGAACGGGGUUAGUGGCUUAUACAAGUGCCUUAUGCAAGAGACCUUACACAUAUAAGUAUACAUAAAAGUGCCUUAUACAAGAGACCCCACAGAGGUCCCUAGCCCCUUUCACCAUGUGAGCACAGGGCAAGCAGACACCUGCUCUGAACCAGGGAGAGGGCCCUCACCAGAAAGUGACGGUGCCGGCUGGUGCCUUGAUCUUGGACUCUCUAGCCUUCAGUAUCCUGACCAGUAAACUUUUGUUGUUUAUAAACUAUCCAAUCUGGUAUUUUGUUAUAGCAGUUCAAAGGGACUAAGACACAUUCCAAGGUUAAAAUAAAUAAUUAGUUGGGACAUAUCUGUCAUUUCUGAUUAUCCAAAUAUCUGAUAUUUCCCUAUCAGACUGAUGAGCUAAUAUUUUUAUUUCCCAAUAUCUAUGGGCAGAACACUUUUUUUUUUUUUAAGUCAGUCAGUCGACCUAGCUAUCCAUCAGCCUAUCCAUCCAUCCAUCCAUCCAUGUCUUUCUUCAUCCUUCUCUCCCCUCCUGAGGAAUUGAGUCCCAACAACUAGGCAGUGGCAGGACUUCACGACCCAACUAAGCAGGGGAAGAUGUGGGGGAGGGGUGGCAGCAAUGGCCUGGUUUAGGCUACUGGAAUACAAGCAGGGUGAAGAUGGGCCUGGUUCAUCUCAUAGUGCCAGAGUGUGCUCCAAGAGUGAGGAGGACGGUUUGAAGGGGCCCCCUCGGGGUGCCUGGGUGGCUCAAUCGGUUAAGCAUCUGCCUUCUUCUCAAGUCAUGAUCCCAGGGUCCUGGGAUUGAGCCCUACAUCAAGCCCCACAUCAGGCUCCUUGCUCCAUAGGGAGCCCGCUUCUCCCUCUGCCUUCCACUUCCUUGCUUGGGCCCUCUAUCACUCUGUCAAAUAGGUAAGUAAAAUCUUUGGGGGGGGGGGGGAGAACAAAAAAAAAAGGAAAUUAAGGAGCUCCCUCUGGGCAAGUCUGGGACAUUUUAAAUAUCAAAAUGAAUAAUAGUAAUAUCAGAUUGCAAUCCAUUAAAAAUAUCCAUAAAUGAUAAAAUAAUUUUUAAUAUCCAUGCACCCAGGCUGACAUAAAUAAAAGAGUGACUAAAUAAAAAAGAAAAGAAGGGACUCUUUCCUUGCAGUGGAAUGCCAACUGAUGAAUGCAGAAGAAACCAAGGAAUUAGAAAAAUCACCAUUUGGCAACUAUCAGAGUAAUAAUUAAUUCAGCCAAGAAGCAUAGAUAGAUGCUAGAACUAGUUGGUGGGAGAUUGAUAUGAAACAAAAUAUUACAUAGUCCAAAACCACCAUCCGCCACAUACUGAUCAUAAAGAGAGAAUGAGUAAUUUUACAGUAGAAAAAUCUGGUAGGCAUGGCUUUAAGUAAGAGAUCACAGUUAACAAUCUCCAGUAAUGUAAGAAAUAGGAACUAUGCACUCCCAUAUCAGAUGCAAUGAGAAGAACAUGUAGCUUCUGUGAUAUUCCUAAUAAAAAUACACCACCUAAAUCUAAUUUCAGGGACAUAUAGCAGACAAACUCAAACUGAGAUAUAUCUGUCAAAAAUAACUUGUCUGUAGUCUUCAAAAAUAUCUAGAUAUUGAAAAGUCAAGGACAGACGGAGGAACUAUUUCAGACUAAAGGAAACUAAACAGACAGGACAAUAUGCAAUUCUGAAUAAGAUCCUUCUGCUACAAAGUACAUAAUUUGAACAAAAUAUAAAUAGGGACCUAUGGCUCUGAUGGCUAAUUUCUUGAUUUUGAUGACUAAAGUAGGAGAUACCCCUGCUUUUAGCAACCAACUGCAUGCGAAGGUAUUUAGAAGUGAUGACACAUCACGUUGCUAAUUUACUCUCAAAUGAUAAGACAAAAAGCUGUUUUUGCAGCUUUUCUGCAAGUUCAAAAUUAUUUCAAAAGAAACAGAAAAUAAAUGAGGUGAAUAAUUAGGAUGGUUAGAAUACAUAGAUAGGAUAUAAAGAUAGGCAAGAGACAGAGAUCUAGGUCAAGGUGGAGAUAGGGAUCUCGGUGGCUCCCUUAACCCACCAGCCGAAACAGAAGUAAUCCUUUACUCUCUGCAUCUUUUUACCAUUUUCCCUUGUAAAUGAUGGCACAGUCAAGCAGUAUGCACAACUACCCAGGGACGUUUCAUACGCAACAAAAACAGUUCAGAUCAUUGAGCAACCUCUUUCUAAGGCGGGGGGGGGGGGGAGGGAGAAACUAACUGAAAAAUAUAAUCAGAUGAUUCAAUAACAUGUAACCAGGCUGGUCUUGUUUGUUUUCUUGUAUGGCACUCUUCCUGAAAAGAUUUUAAGCAUUUUUUUUCCUACUUUCCAUGGAAAUUGUGACAACUUCAUGAAAGGGAUAAUGUCUUUCCAACAACUUUCUGAAGGAAUAUUUUUACUUAUUUAGCAGGUAAAGAAAAUCAUGAGAAAGAGAGGUAAAGUUUCCAGCAUCAAAAAAUGCCUAAGCGAUAGAGUCUGUAUUCAAAUGAAACUCUGUAUGGAUUUAAGACCCAUGUUCUUCUUAACGUAAUUAUAAAAGGAAACCGUUUACUCUGAAUUUUCUCCCUGAACAAUAUCCACCGUCAGAAUGGCAUAGCAUCAUAGGCAACCUGGAUCCAUUUAUCAUUUUAAAUUUAUUUCACCUUUUUGUGUGUAUUGAAUUAGAGUAGAUGGGGCAUAGAGUCUAUUUCUGGUUUCACUUUGCUUAACCGGAAGUACACUGACCGUGUACUUUUAUGACAUUGUGCAAAACAAACCAAAUGCCACAUGGAACAAGGUGCCUGUUGAAGCAGUUUUGUUGUUGGUUUUUAACUAUGUGGUUGGUGUAAUUAUUUUUGGCUCUUAUGUUUCAUUUCCAUUUUCUCUUAAGGACUUGGAACCAGUUUUACAGCUCUCUAAUGAAAGCACAUCACUUUACCUCUAAAGUUUCUAAGAGAUCAUUUCUUAAACCUCCUGGUAGCAAAGCCACGGAAACAACCUUUGAGCUAAUUUUUUUUUUUUUUAAGAUUUUAUUUAUCUAUUUGACAAACAGAGAUCACAAGUAGGCAGACAGGCAGGCAGAGAGAGACAGGGAAGCAGGCUUCCUGCUGGAUAGAGAGCCCAGUGCAGGACUCGAUCCUAGGACCCUGAGAUCAUGACCUGGGCCUAAGGCAGAGGCUUAACCCACUUAGCUACCCAGGCACCCCUUCCUUUGAGCUAAUCCUGACUGCUGUCCUCUGUUCCUGCCCGUGAGCCCGUUUUAUAAGGGAGAUGGGAACAUGGUGUCCUUGUGGCCCAUUCCUUCUCUCCUCCCAGCCUCAAAGCUUAGUAAAGACCCACAGAAACACACCCUACAGCAUCUGCCUUUUGGAAAAUAAAAUUUCUGUUCUAUAGAAGACGGGAUUCUUAAGUUCUCAUACUCCAACUUACUCUACUGCCAUAUAGAGAUCAUGAAUUCUUUUUAUUUUGACACAGGAAAUACGUAUUUUAGUAAUCCCCACCGUGGCUUAACCGACCACUGAGAGCAUGCUACAACUAUCUGUAGUGGGUCUGACCUAGUUUCACUUUACAAAUGAGAUAAGACCAUACAACCACCCUGUCUCUUAUGAGGAUUAAAUGAGAUACUUAAUGGUAUUUUCUUAAAAACCAGCAAAACUACCAUCUCAAAAGAGGAUCUCAUUUCUAGAUCAGACUUGGCCUGUGCAUGUGGGUGUCCACACAAGAGAUUAUGUACCAGACAUUCUGCUAUUAUUGCUGAUGUAGGCACAGAAGGUCAACAAUGUGGAUUAACUUGGAUUAAAGUAUUAUUUUCUGAUUACAUUUGUGGUUCAAGUUUCUGUGUACUUAAAACUAUUAAGAUUAAGCUAUUAAUCUUAAAACUAUUAAGAUUAAGCAAAACAAAAACAAAUAAAAAAGAAAACAAAGCAAAACAAAAAAAGAAAAAACAAAAAACAAACCCACCAAAAAACCCUCACACUUAAAAUGAGUAAAAAAAGUAAUAAGACAACAAAUUUACAAGUUAAAUUUACAAGUUAAAAAAACUUAGAACUGUUUAAACUAAGAAAAAUUAUUAUAUAUGCAAUAACAUGUUUAUAUGUGACCUAGACAUAUUUUCUUACCUCUAAGGUGGUAACAAAAAACAGGUGACACAAACACAUAUAUCUCACAUGUACAUACGUGUAAACAUUCACACAAAUAAAUAGUGUAUAAGGAGACAGAAAAUCACGAGAAAUAUCCAGAACAGAAAAGUAUAGGUGAAUAUAGGGAGAGAAAUUAGAGGAACUGAAAGAUUUCUAGUUUUUCCCUUACUUUGAAGAUUUUUUUUCUGAUAGUAUUAAAAAAUUCUUCCCAAACUACUAUAUUCCUAAAAAGAAAUAGAGAAGCAAAAUAGAGAACAUGGAUAAGAUAAGAAAAGAAAAGAAGAAAAAAAAAUGGAAGUUUAAAAAAUGAGAGAGGGUGUCUAGUGGCUCAGUCGGUUAAGCACCUGACUCUUGAUUUCAGCUCAGUUCACAAUCUUGGGGUUGUGAGAUACAGCCCCGUGCUGGGCUCCAUGCUCAGCAGGGAGUCUGCUUGAGAUUCUCUCCCUCUCCCUCUGCUCCUCCCUCCACUUGUACUUUCUCUCUCUAAUAAAUAAUUUUUUUUUAUAAGUAAGAGAAUGGAAAAAAGUAAAUUUAGCAUAACACGAACAGUAAAUGAUGUGGUUUUGAUUACAGGAGUAAUUUACCUACCGUGAUGAUAGAUGUUUUCACAUUUAAAAAUCUCAUUAAUUUUAUGUUGAACUAAAGUGUGACUUCUUCAUUCAAAAUAUAAGUCUAGAGGAAAAUGGUUUGGAUUUGGCAGAAAGAAUACCUCAAUGCAUGAAAAAAAUGGGGUUUUGCAAAUCAUCAGAAUUCUACAACUCUAUUUAAAAAUAGUUUUUGAGGUUACUUUUUUCUAUUUAUCCUCAUACCAAUUUCUCCCUCUCUGAAUUUAGAAACUAAAUGGUCACAAACCCCAAAGCAUGAAUGGUACCAAAUCCAAACAAAAGCUGUUAGCAUUAGUAAGAGCUCAACCAGGAGGAUAAAUACAAAAUAAAUAUAUAAAACUCCAUAGCUUUCAAAUAACUAAUUAUAAAAUAUAAUGAAAUUAUCCAAUUCAUAAUGGCCACAAAAUAUAAAAUAUGUGGAAAUAAAAUUUUUUGAAAACCAGGUCCUGGGUGAAUAAACUUACAAAACUUUAUGAUGGAGCAUUUAAUGAAAAUACUUGAAUGGGGAAUCAUCCUGGGUAGGAUUAUAUACAUGUCAAUUCUUGCCACAUAAAUUUAGAGAAAUACCAGUAAGGCAAUUCCAAUAAAAUCCUCAUUUUUUUCCUCCUGAAGUUGGCAAUAUAUUUUAAAGCUAUACCAGUAAAAUUUAAAACAUAAGAACAAUCAGGCAAUUAAAAAAAAGAAUUAGGGAGAAUAUUAGUGCUAAAUUAAUUGAAACAAUAAUGAACUGAAAAGAUCAUUGACCAUAAAACUCGGAAAUGGAUCCCAAGAUAUAAAAGAACUUUUAGUACAUUGAGCUCACAUCAAUGACAUUUUACUGAAUACCUAUGUGCCAGGUGAUUUGUUAACAGAAAAGUAAACUGGUGUAAUAUUUUCAGAAAGCAAUCUGACAAUAUGUAUUAAGAACUGUAAAAGAGCUUAUAUCCUCUUAGUAAAUGUACUUCCAGAAUAUAUUCUAAGGGGGUGGUCAGACAUUAGUUUAAGUAUUUAUACAUAGAGAUGUUCAUUAUAGGGUUAUUUAUCAUAGCAAAAAACCUAGCAAAAAUAGAAUUAAUAAAUUAUGGCAUAUCUAUACAAUGGAAUAAUAUAUACCCAUUAACGUUAUGUUUGAAAACAUUCACGUGUUCACACAAUAGAAUAUUAUAAAACAAAUAAUCAACUACACCUGCAUAUAAUGUGGGUGAAUUUCACAAUCAUUUAAUGAAAUGAGCAAGACACAAAAUGUAUACAAUGUAGGACUGCAUUUACAUGCAUUUCUUACACAUAAAACAAUCUAUGCUUCAAGAAGUCAGGAUACCUUUGGAGAGUUGGGUAAAAUGACAGAAAAUGGUGGUGGGUUGGGGGAUAUUCUAGGAUUCUGUAAUUUCUAUUUCUUGAUCUAGAUGGUAAUGACAUAUGAAAAAUCAUUGAAAUUUAAAUUUGUUUCUGUAUGCUAUUCUAUAUACAUUCUAUAUGUUCUGUAUGCCAUUCAUCAAUAAGAAGGGUUUAAAAAUUCAUGACAUGAAAAAAUGUCCACAAUAUUAAAGCAGGAAGAAAAGCAUGCCACAAAACUGUGCAUGAAUUAUAGUCUCAGUUUUGUGAAUUAAACAAUAGCACAGAAAAAUCGCUAGAAGGAAAUCGGCUGUUGGGGGUAUAAGCAAGGGAUUGUGGAGGAUUAGAGGAGCUGGUGGAAAACAGAAAAAGACCCCAGUGGUGUCAUUUAUUAGGAAAGCUUGGUUUGGAGAAGAGAUGGUGGUGGCUGAGGGUGUGUGGAGUAAAGGGGGAACCUGUUUAAAUUCUGAGGGAAAGGAGUCAACAGAGAAAAAAACAUACAGGAAAUAAACCAAAAAAGAGCCAAUGACGCCUCUUAACAGGCUGGUGAGUAUGCACGAAAGAGGCAAACUCAAAAGAAGGGGUAAAAAGGGCUGCUGUAUGCACACAGAACAGGUCCUUUUUCCUAGAGUUUUGUAAAUUUAACAUAUCAAGAAGCUUGUCAAUUUUCCACUCCAGGUACAACCACUUGCAUUCUUCAUGAAGCCUUCAGAUGAUCCCAUUAUCUGGACCAGGAGAUUGCUCUAAGAGCUUUAGCCAGAGGAUAAUCUAUCUUUCUCUUCAAAUACUUCAGGCCAAAAUAAAGACCGGGUCAAGCAUAGUGACAGCAGGUCGCACAGCAAGUACAUUUCUACCACAUGUUUGCUGUGUAAUUUGGGGCAAGUUAUUUAACCUCACUGUGUGUGAAUGGUUUCAUUUGAGAAAUGAUAAAGACAAUAACAGGUUGAUAAGAGGCUUAAAUGAGAUCAUCCACAUAAAAUGCCCAACAUCAGAGGAAACCCUCAAUAAUUAUAAAUUGCUAUCAUCAUUUUUUCUUAAUCUGGGGGCAGAGUUUUUAAGAUGUCUUCAGAUCUAGAAAUAGCAAAACAAAAACUAAGAACAUAAUGGGUGAUGAAGACCAACUAAUUCAAGGUAAAUAAUUUCAGGAGUGAAUAUGCUUUCUCUCAACUUUUUAUUUUAAAACAAGUUAAAUCAAUAGAAAAUCUGAUCCUUUGCCCACAGGCUGGCAUUCUGCCCAACCCUCAAGGCCCUGGGGCCUCAGUAAUGUUUCCCUUUUACCCUUCACCUUUAUUAACCAACUGUUAAAUUUUGCCCUAUUUUCUUUCUCUUUCUCUCUCUCUCUCUCUCUCUCUCUCUCUCUCUCUCUUGCCUACAAACUCAUAUACACAACCAGUGUUGGAGAAGCCAAGACUCUAAUCUGUAGGCUCAUUAUGGAGGAGGGUACAUUCCAUCUUCUUGUCUGGUGUACAAACAGCCUUUUUCAGAGAUUCUGAUUUAACACAUAAGACCUAAUGUAAUACUAAGGCUGCAUUAAUUGGGAGAACCAAUGCGGGAUAACACACUUAUAGCAGAUAAGAAGGUAUUUGGGGCAAUACCCCCUGGGGAAAGACAAAGGGCUUAGAGCUCUAGUCUAGGUCUGUGAAUAAGGAGAAACCAAAGGCUUUCAGAAACAGGCAAGGAAGCCUGACAGAACUGGGUCAGGGGGAGAGUGAGACCUGGCUUUGGGAAAUACCCCUGUGUGUGCACAUGGGCAUCUCACCCUCAGCUCUAUGGAAAAGAACACAGAUGCAGUGGGUCUCCACUCCAUUUUUAGGCAUCCAAGUUAUCAUAUACAUCUGGUAGGGAAGCAGAAAAUCCAAAGGACACUAAACAUUUUGUCUCCAAUAAUUACACUUCUGGAAACUUAUUCCACAUAUAUUAGGCUCAACUGCAUAAAAUUUUUUUCUAGAGUAAAAAAGUCAGUAUGGGCAAUUUCACAUAUUCACAUAUAUUUGUUCAUGUAAAAAAUGACAUACGUAUAAGGAUAUUCCCUCCAGUACUGUUUACAAAAGUGGAAGUCUGGAAAUACCUAGUAUAUAAAUAUUAUGUAUAUGUGUGUAUGUGUGCAUGAACACAGGUGUGUGUGUAUUAUGUAACUGUCUCUAAAUGUAUGUAUAGAAUAUAUGUAUUUAAAGACAUAAUGGAAUAUUAUGCAACUGUCAAAAAGAAUUUAGCGGCUCUCUGCAUAUCACCUUCAAAAUUUAAGACACUGUUAAGCGAAAUAUGUAAAAUAUUCAAUAUAGUAAACUAUCUUUUGGAUAAUAACAAGGAGGAGAGGGACACUUGGGUGGCUCAAUUGGUUAAGUAUCUGCUUUGAGCUCGAGUCAUGAUUCCUGGGUCCUGGGAUCAAGUCCCGCAUUGGGAUCCUUGCUGAGUGAGUAGUCUGCUUCUCCCUCUGCCUGCUGCUCCCUCUGCUUAUAUGCUUUCUGUCUCUGACAAAUUUUUUAAAAAGCGGAGGAGCAUAAAAAAAUAUAUUUGCAUUUGCUUAUAUACGUAUGAAGAAACUCUGGAGGAAUACACAAGAAAUUAAUAAUUGUUGGGGCGCCUGGGUGGCUCAGUGGGUUAAGCCUCUGCCUUUGGCUCGGGUCAUGAUCCCAGGGUCCUGGAAUCGAGCCCCGCAUCAGGCUCUCUGCUCAGCGGGAAGCCUGCUUCCUCCUCUCUCUUCUGCCUGCCUCUCUGACUACUUGUGAUCUCUGUCAAAUAAAUAAAUAAAAUCUUUAAAAAAAUUAAUAAUUGUUUACUUUUGAGGAAGUACGAACUGUGAAGUAGAAGAAAUCUUUGGGAGAUGACUUUUCAUUGCUUCCUUUGUUAUGUAUUUUUAACCAUGUGUAUGUAUUAUCUAGUCAGAAAAAUUUAAGUAAGAAUCUUGGAGAAAAAAGUUAAGAUAUUCGAUGUUCAGAUGGGGAACCAGCAAUUGGAAAAUGAUUCUUGAUGCGUUUUCUAUCUACAACAAUGCAACAUUAAGUUGUAUGUAUGAUUUUAUCUCAAUAAAAUCAGUUUCUAGA